AUUGAACGCUGGCGGCAUGCUUUACACAUGCAAGUCGAACGGUAACAGGUUAAGCUGACGAGUGGCGAACGGGUGAGUAAUGCAUCGGAACGUGCCCGAUCGUGGGGGAUAACGCAGCGAAAGCUGCGCUAAUACCGCAUACGAUCUGAGGAUGAAAGCGGGGGACCGUAAGGCCUCGCGCGAUCGGAGCGGCCGAUGUCAGAUUAGAUAGUUGGUGGGGUAAAGGCUCACCAAGCCAACGAUCUGUAGCUGGUCUGAGAGGACGACCAGCCACACUGGGACUGAGAGACGGCCCAGACUCCUACGGGAGGCAGCAGUGGGGAAUUUUGGACAAUGGGCGAAAGCCUGAUCCAGCAAUGCCGCGUGCAGGAAGAAGGCCUUCGGGUUGUAAACUGCUUUUGUACGGAGCGAAAAGGCCCUCUCUAAUACAGGGGGUUUAUGACGGUACCGUAAGAAUAAGCACCGGCUAACUACGUGCCAGCAGCCGCCGCAG
rnacentral:rRNA from 1 species